rnacentral:snoRNA from 1 species
UCUAGCAGUGAUGAUGCUCUUGCCCUCACUGAGAACUGUAAUGAGUUCUGUAAUGAGAGCUUUUAAAGUACUCAUUUGCUCUGAGCCAGA